rnacentral:lncRNA from 9 species
AAGGAGAGCAGAGAGAAUCUCUGGAGAGGCGGUCAGGUCUGGGCUUAGAGGUUCCUGGAGGCUCUGGAGGGUGGACUUACAGCAGGCUCCUAGGUCAGUGCCUGUGCCCACCUCUUUCCACCCAGGCCUGGAGGAGAGCCUCAGAGCCCCAGCCAACCCAUCCCAGGAAGGUCCUCCUAGCUCGGGUCCCCACCUGGACUCUGUCUGCCCUGGGAAGGGGCUUCUGGAUGGGCCCUGCCAUCUCUCCGGGAGUGGUCCUCUUUGUACUUCCAGCCCACACGGCCCACCCAACACAUCACAGGGAGCCCCCAGUCUGGUGCUUGUUGGAACCUCCUAUUUGCAUCCUCCCUCUUGACCAGAGCUCCAUGGAGGCCCCUGCACAGGGUGAGGUGGAAGCCACUCUAUUCCCUCCCUCCCCUCUCCCCUCCUCUCUCUCCCCAUCUGUGCCCUAAAACCCCAGGCCUGGGGCUGGGAGUCAGAAAGGCUGAGUCUUGGGGCAGAAUGAGGCAGCUGGUUUAAAGGAGCAUCCAUUCAGGCUCCCAGUGUGUUGCUCACGUCAUGGUCCAUCAGUAUGCCUUAGGCCAGGCAUCCCCUUCUACAGACACCAAAUCCAUAAACGUGACCUCAGAGAUCCCAGAUGGGGCCCAAUAUUUGUUUAAGCUUUGGGCUUCUUUACACCUCACCACAGCGCUUACAGAAGAGGAACCAGUGCGUCCAGAUGAGACCAAAGCUCUCCCUUGCGUCCCCACUGAGAAAGACCGAGGCAGGUUUCACGCUGAUCUCUUCUCGCUUCUUGACCCCAGCCACCUCUCCGUGCACAGCCAGAUUCCAGAAGGAUUCCUGCAGCCCAGCGUUUCUACAGCUCAGGUGUGUCGAGCACCUAACCACUGCCCGAAGAGCAUCACGUGCGUUUGCACCUUUAAUCGUCACCACAGCCCAGUGAGAUGCAAUUAUCAUGCCAUGUUCUUAUGAGGAACUUGAGGAGCGGACCGUGGUCAGGGCCUUUUUUUCUCUUUCCACCAAAGGCGGCAGUGGGCAGGCGCUGGGGUUUGCAGAGCCGCCCUCGCUGGGGCCACCCGAGCCAGGCAGAGAGGCAGAUGGCCACUAGAGGGCGUCGCUCGCUCGCUGGAGCCCUCCGGUGAAACGCUGGAGACACCAGGCCCCGACCGUCCGAGAGACAUAGGGGUACCAGCCCUGCGUCCUGACUGAGCGUCAGGCCCAGGGGCGCCCGUUACUCGGCUCUGCGUUCCUCCAGCAGCCCAGCGUCCCCUCCCCGGCACCCCCGGGGCCAGCCGGGCUCCUCUUGCCCACCCCGCUCCCAGCGUGCAUCCCCGAUGGCCAUUCGGGAGCCCCGGGAGUCUGAUCCCGCUGGCACCUGCCCGUGGUCCCCCGCCCCGCGUGGUCUUGAGAUUUCCUUCUCGCGCCCCGCAGUAAAGCAACGUUUAGUCUGUUUAUCUGUAUUUUCAGAACCAAGGUGGCAUAAACACAUUAAAGAAAGAGGAAAGUAGAGAAAAGCUACCAGAAAGCACCGAGAGGGCCCGUGAGCACAGAUACAGCUUCUUCCACCUCGUGGGCAGGGCGGGCACCCUAGCCCGCUGCGUGGGGUCACACUCUCCCCACAUCACCGCUGCCUGGGAACCACCUUUCUGUGGCGUUCAGGAUCCCAAACAGCAAACCCUCAACAAGCACUCAGACCACCUGCGUGGGCGAAUUCUCUAAGGCUUCAUCCUCUAGCUGCAGAGAGACCUCAGGAAGAGAGGUCGGUGGGCGCCAGGGGAGCAUUAAGGGGAGCGUGGCCUCUGCCUUGUCUGGGGCAGUGAUGGAAACCUCCCAGGUUGGGGCUUCACGAUUCAGAUCAGAGUAAAUUCACACGUUCACAGCUUUCAGAUGGAAGCCUUAAUUUAUACAGUGUGAGAAGAGGAAAACUUUGCUAGCUCUUUCUCAGUUGUACAAUUUGUGGGAGGCUAAAUGGUGGCCCCAAACAUAUAUCCUUGCCCUGAUCCCCAGAACCUGUUACUUUUUAUAGCAAAGACUUUUCAGUUGUAAUUAAGGAUCUUCACAUGGGGAGAUUAUCCCAGGUCACCUGGGUGGACCCUAAGGCAAUCACUUGUCCUUCUAAGAGAGAGGAAGGGGAACUUCAUACCUAGAAGAGGAGAAGGCAAUGGACCACGGAGGCAGGAACCAGACUGCAGCGGCCAGAAGACGAGGGAUGCUGGCAGCCACCAAAGGCUAGAAGAGGCAAGGAAUGGAUUCUCCCUACAGCCUCCAGAGGGAGCGCUCUUAAUUUCAGCCCAGUGAUCCUAUUUCAGCCUCUAGAAUUGUCAGGAUAAAUUUCUCUUGUUUUCUAUCAGUUAGAACAAAUUCUGACCAAAGGAACAAAUUCCUUCCAGUAGCCAAAGGAAGCUAGUAUACCACACCUCAGCCAGAAUGCUAAACUCUUAAAGAAAACUUCCUCUUCACAAAGUGUCUAAAAUUUUGGUUUUCAGGUAGGCAUUUCUUUUCUAUAUACAACUUAACAUUUGUAAAGCAUAAUCAGCCUCCUCUCAGCUGUGGGCUGGUAGGGGAUUUGCUGUGUGCACACAGCACCCACCACCCCAUGGAGCCCUAUGCCUGGGAUCUGGGCGUCCUGUCCCACCAUGCCCUGCGACUUCACGAUUGUCACGGAAGAGAUUCUAUGUUUUAUUUUAAAGUCACUAUGCAUAAAUAUUCUUAGAAAAGAAAGCUUACCAUUACAUUUCUUAUUCCCUGGAGACUACUUAGUUUACAGGCUCUCAGAUUAAUUAUAACAAGGUCAGAGGGACACAGUCAAGAAUUGCUUGUCAAAGGGUUGUGAGCAAAUUCAUUUUCAUACCACAAAUAUAGUCUGCAAAAAAUUUAUAACGAGUAUCUUAAUAACAACACUUUUCUCUAACAAACUUACAAAAUAAAACAAGCAUAGCAGUUUGGAUGUCUUGAGAUUAAGGGUUACAUUCCAAAGAGAAUUAACAGUAAGCCUAGAGUUAAACUUAGGAGUUCUGUCGUGGCUCAGCGGAAAUGAAUCUGACUAGCUAGCAUCCAUGAGGAUGCAGAUUUGAUCCCUGGCCUCGCUCAGUGGGUUAAAGAUCUGGCAUUGCUAUGAGCUGUGGUGAGGGUUGCAGACACAGCUCAAAUCCCAUGUUGUAGUGGCUGUGGCAUAGGCCAGCAGCUGCACUUCCAAUUCAACCUCUAGCCUGGGAAUCUCCAUAUGCUAAGGAUGGGGCCCUAGAAAAAUCCCCCCCCCAAAAAAGAAAUGGUACAGAACAUUCCUACAAAUAAACUACUUAAGGUAAUGAUGACAAGGUUUGAAUAAGGAGAGAAAUAAUUUAAAAAUGUUUUCUCUUUUAUAUGAAGGAAAACCAGUUUGAGUUUUGUAAAAAGAAUGCAUAUUUAUAAAUUAUUCAAGCACUGUGUAGAGGUUAAAAAAUUCAAAUGCCACUGCUCAUAAAUAAUUAGUAUUUACAGUAGGAUGGUAUCAUUCUAGACAUCUUUUCAUGCAUGUAUUCCAGAAAAGCUAACUAGAUAUAUUGAAAUAUUUUAUCAUUUCUCAGCCUUUUGGCUAAGAACAAGUGUAGAUAUACUGAAAUAUUUUAAUAAAUAUGUGAUUGUUUUUAUACAUCAUUCAAAAUAUUAUUGUACUUCAAUUCAUUUGCAGUUAAAACCUGAAAAAGAAAUCAAAGGAACAUGAAAGAAUUAUAAAAUUUCAAAUAAAUGUGUAUUCACCUC